UCCCAAGUCAGGCGUUUUCUCUCUUUCUUGUUCGCAGCAGUUUUUGGCGCAACUUGUUUCCGUCGACGUCUCCCCCGUCCGAUCACACACGUCUUGUUUAUUGGUUGCACAGGGUGGUCGGCGGCGGCUAGGGCUUUUCACACCAGGUGGUCGACGACGGUUUUGUGGUCUGAUUAAGUGGUCCGCGGCUCCUAGGGUUUCUCUAUGUUCCCUUCAGUCACGCUUGGCAUUCACGCACUAUUUCGCUAUGGAGGAUUCCGGUCUCAGACAUUCUAAGUUUCGUGCAUGCAAGAAGUCGCGAUCUCCUCAGCCUAGUCGGGCCUAACCGCAAAUCAGGUUGAGCCAUAAUGACAAGCUCCUGAUUACGAUUUUGGGAUUGUGGUCUUCGUAUAAGGGAUGUGAAGGAGUGUACAUGAGGGAGAUCUUGAUGAGUGCCAUCAACGUGCAUCAAGCUCGAAACAUGAAGUCUGCAAGUGAUUAUGCUGUUGCUAUGCAGGAUAACCAUGUCAUCGUUCCUUCAAGUAGGGUCAGACUGUUCCUUUUAUUGUCUUUUUUAGGAUAUUAAAAUUUUUGCUAUAUGUUUUGCGCAUCAAGUAGUGGAUAUAUGCACAUAUUCCUCCCUAAUUGAGCUUGCACAGUUUUCACCAUGUUUGCACACAUGGUUAAGAAUGUACUCGCACACUCCGUAUUGCAUACUCAUGUGUACACACAUGGACACGUGAUUCACAUAUAUCAUAGUACUCAUUAAAUGCAAUAACAUUCCUAUUCUGUGUUUA